rnacentral:rRNA from 1 species
UACGUAGGGGUGCAAGCGUUGUCCGGAAUUAUUGGGCGUAAAGAGCUCGUAGGCGGUGUGUCGCGUCGGCCGUGAAAACCUGCAGCUUAACUGUGGGCUUGCGGUCGAUACGGGCAUCACUGGAGUUCGGCAGGGGAGACUGGAAUUCCUGGUGUAGCGGUGAAAUGCGCAGAUAUCAGGAGGAACACCGGUGGCGAAGGCGGGUCUCUGGGCCGAUACUGACGCUGAGGAGCGAAAGCGUGGGGAGCGAACAGG